rnacentral:rRNA from 1 species
ACACUCCUACGGGAGGCAGCAGUGAGGAAUAUUGGACAAUGGGUGGAAGCCUGAUCCAGCCAUCCCGCGUGCAGGAAGACGGCCCUAUGGGUUGUAAACUGCUUUUAUCUGGGGAUAAACCUACUUACGUGUAAGUAGCUGAAGGUACCAGAAGAAUAAGCACCGGCUAACUCCGUGCCAGCAGCCGCGGUAAUACGGAGGGUGCAAGCGUUAUCCGGAUUUAUUGGGUUUAAAGGGUCCGUAGGCGGACUGAUAAGUCAGUGGUGAAAUCCGACAGCUUAACUGUCGAACUGCCAUUGAUACUGUUAGUCUUGAGUAAGGUUGAAGUGGCUGGAAUAAGUAGUGGAGCGGUGAAAUGCAUAGAUAUUACUUAGAACACCAAUUGCGAAGGCAGGUCACUAAGUCUUAACUGACGCUGAUGGACGAAAGCGUGGGGAGCGAACAGGAUUAGAAACCCGAGUAGUCCC